GCAAGUCGAGGGGUAACAGGAGAGCUUGCUCUCGCUGACGACCGGCGCACGGGUGCGUAACGCGUAUGCAACCUACCUUUAACUGGGAGAUAGCCCGGAGAAAUCCGGAUUAAUACCCCAUAAUAUUCCGAAUGGGCAUCCAUUUUGAAUUGAAGCUUCGGCGGUUUUAGAUGGGCAUGCGUGGCAUUAGUUAGUUGGUGAGGUAACGGCUCACCAAGACAAUGAUGCCUAGGGGUUCUGAGAGGAUUUUC
rnacentral:rRNA from 1 species